rnacentral:rRNA from 1 species
AGCGAAUAGAUACCCGGGUAGUCCACGCUGUAAACGAUGGGUGCUGGACGUUGGUGGGUUUACCUGCCGGUGUCGCAGCUAAACGCGUUAAGCACCCGCCUGGGGAGUACGGUCGCAAGAUUAAAACUCAAAGGAAUUGACGGGGGCCCGGCACAAGCGGUGGAGCAUGUGGUUUAAUUCGACGCAACGCGAAGAACCUUACCAGCUCUUGACAUGGGAAGUAUGGUCUCUGGCGACGGAGAUCUUCAGUUCGGCUGGCUUCCACACAGGUGCUGCAUGGCUGUCGUCAGCUCGUGUCGUGAGAUGUUGGGUUAAGUCCCGCAACGAGCGCAACCCUCGUCUCCAGUUGCCAUCGGGUUAUGCCGGGCACUUUGGAGAAACUGCCGAUGACAAGUCGGAGGAAGGUGGGGUAUGACGUCAAGUCCUCAUGGCCUUUUAUGGGUCGUGGGCCGACACACGUGCUACAAUGGCGGUGACAGAGGGCAG